ACACACCAAUCCUUGCAGUUCCGAAACCAGGAAAGGAGGGCCAAUGGGAAAUCAAUUCUGUUGUAGAACCACUUCAUGCCCUAGUGCCAAACCCUGCCCAUAUCCUAGCCCAAAUACCGGCUGAGGCAAAA